GACGAACGCUGGCGGCAUGCCUAACACAUGCAAGUCGAACGAGACCUUCGGGUCUAGUGGCGCACGGGUGCGUAACGCGUGGGAACCUGCCUUUAGGUUCGGAAUAACUCAGAGAGAUUUGAGCUAAUACCGGAUGAUGUCUUCGGACCAAAGAUUUAUCGCCUUUAGAUGGGCCCGCGUUGGAUUAGCUAGUUGGUGGGGUAAAGGCCUACCAAGGCGACGAUCCAUAGCUGGUCUGAGAGGAGGAUCAGCCACACUGGGACUGAGACACGGCCCAGACUCCUACGGGAGGCAGAAGUGGGGAAUAUUGGACAAUGGGCGAAAGCCUGAUCCAGCAAUGCCGCGUGAGUGAUGAAGGCCUUAGGGUUGUAAAGCUCUUUUACCCGAGAUGAUAAUGACAGUAUCGGGAGAAUAAGCUCCGGCUAACUCCGUG
rnacentral:rRNA from 1 species